rnacentral:ncRNA from 1 species
AGUUACGCGAUGAAAAGAAGAGUAUAAAAAAUAAGGGUUUCCAGAGAGCUUCGGUAGCUGAGAAGAAGCAUUCCUUAUCUUUUAGAAGAUGGUCUUGGAGCAUAGAAUGAUGAACGGAGUAGUCAUUUUCGGGUUAGCCCGUUACAGCUUGCAACAGUUUAUCUGUUGAAUAAGAUUGAUGAUUGAUCAAUGAAUAAAGGUGGUACCACGGAAAACUUCCGUCCUUUCC